rnacentral:piRNA from 1 species
UAAAGGUUAGACUUGAGACUUGAUUUCUUA